CCUCUAAUCACCCUCACCCUCACCCUAACCAUCCUAACCACCCUCACCAUAACCACUCUAACUCUAACCACUCUAACUCUAACCACUCUAACUCUAACCACUCUAACCACCCUAACUCUAACCACUCUAACCACCCUAACCACCCUCACCCUAACCACUCUAACUCUAACCACCCUCACUCUAACCACUCUAACCACUCUUAACUCUAACCGCUCUAACCACUCUAACCACCCUAACUCUAACCACUCUAACCAACCGAACACUAACCACUCUAACUCUAACCACCCUAACCACUCUAACUCUAACCACCCUAACCACUCUAACUCUAACCACUCUAACUCUAACCACCCUAACCACACUAACUCUAACCACCCUAACCACUUUAACUCGAACCACUCUAACUCUAACCACUCUAACCACCCUAACCACUUUAACUCUAACCACUCUAACCACUCUAACUCUAACCACCCUAACUCUAACCACUCUAACUCUAACCACUCUAACCACUCUAAUUCUAACCACUUUAACUCUAACCACCCUAACCACUCUAACUCUAACCACUUUAACUCUAACCACCCUAACCACUCUAACUCGCACCACCCUAACCACUCUAACCACCCUAACCACACUAACUCUAACCACCCUAACCACUCUAACUCUAACCACUCUAACUCUAACCAUCCUAACCACUCUAACUCUCACCACCCUAACCACUCUAACCACCCUAACCACACUAACUCUAACCACCCUAACCACUUUAACUCUAACCACUCUAACCACUCUAACCACCCUAACCACAUUAACUCUAACCACCCUAACCACUCUAACUCUAACCACUCUAACUCUAACCAUCCUAACCACUCUAACUCUCACCACCCUAACCACUCUAACCACCCUAACCACUCUAACUCUCACCACCCUAACCACUCUAACCACUCUAACCACACUAACUCUAACCACCCUAACCACACUAACUCUAACCACCCUAACCACUCUAACUCUAACCACUCUAACUCUAACCAUCCUAACCACUCUAACUCUCACCACCCUAACCACUCUAACCACCCUAACCACACUAACUCUAACCACCCUAACCACUUUAACUCUAACCACUCUAACCACUCUAACCACCCUAACCACAUUAACUCUAACCACCCUAACCACUCUAACUCUAACCACUCUAACUCUAACCAUCCUAACCACUCUAACUCUCACCACCCUAACCACUCUAACCACCCUAACCACUCUAACUCUCACCACCCUAACCACUCUAACCACUCUAACCACACUAACUCUAACCACCCUAACCACACUAACUCUAACCAGUCUAACCACUCUAACUCUAACCACCCUAACCGCUCUAACUCUAACCACCACUCUCACCACUCUAACUCUAAACACCCUAACCACCCUAACCACUCUAACCACCCUAACACUAACCACUCUAACCAACUUAACCACCCUCACCCUAACCACUCUAACUCUAACCAGCCUCACCCUAACCACUCUAACCACCCUAACACUAACCACCCUAACACUAACCACUCUAACCAACCUAACUCUAACCACUCUAACUCUAACCACCCUCACUCUAACCACCCUCACCCUAACCACCCUCACUCUAACCACCCUCACCCUAACCACCCUCAAUCUAACCACCCUCACCCUAACCACUCUAACUCUAACCACCCUCACUCUAACCACCCUAACACUAACCACCCUAACCACUUUAACCACUCUAACUCUAUCCACCCUAACCACUCUAACCACCCUAACCACUCUAACUCUAACCCCCUAACCACUCUAACCACCCUAACACUAACCACCCUAACACUAACCACCCUAACCACUCUAACACUAACCACUCUAAAAAUAACCACCUUAACACUAACCACCCUAACCACUCUUACACUAACCACUCCAACCACCCUAACUCUAACCACUCUAACCACCCUCACUCUAACCACUCUAACCACCCUAACCACUCUAACUCUAACCACCCUAACUCCAACUACCCUAACCACUCUAACCACCCAAACCACUCUAACCACCCUAACACUAACCACUCUAACCAACUUAACCACCCUCACCCUAACCACUCUAACUCUAACCAGCCUCACCCUAACCACUCUAACCACCCUCACCCUAACCACCCUAACACUAACCACCCUAACACUAACCACUCCAACCAACCUAACUCUAACCACUCUAACUCUAACCACCCUCACUCUAACCACCCUCACCCUAACCACCCUCAAUCUAACCACCCUCACCCUAACCACUCUAACUCUAACCACCCUCACUCUAACCACCCUAACACUAACCACCCUAACCACUUUAACCACCCUAAGUCUAUCCACCCUAACCACUCUAACCACCCUAACCACUCUAACUCUAACCCCCUAA
ensembl:lncRNA